rnacentral:rRNA from 1 species
UACGUAGGGGGCUAGCGUUGUUCGGAUUUAUUGGGCGUAAAGAGCGCGUAGGCGGCCAGAUAGGUCUGCUGUGAAAACUCGAGGCUCAACCUCGAGCUGUCGGUGGAAACCAUUUGGCUAGAGUCCGGAAGAGGAGGGUGGAAUUCCUGGUGUAGCGGUGAAAUGCGCAGAUAUCAGGAAGAACACCUAUGGCGAAGGCAGCCCUCUGGGACGGUACUGACGCUGAGACGCGAAAGCGUGGGGAGCGAACAGG